rnacentral:lncRNA from 1 species
CAUCAAUCACCCAAAACACUUCCCCAUCAAACAAGAUCAACACAUAUGAACCACUGAUAUAUAUAAUUUUUCUUCUAGGAAAAUAAAUAUGAAACAUGCUUUUAGUUAAACAAUCAUUUUAUUGCUUGAGUACACAGACAAAUUUAUGCGACCAGGGCAGAGGCUGUAGAUGAUUCAUAUUUCCAAUUGGGAGGGAGGACUCGCUUGGUCUUAUAAUAUCGAGCCAAACGGUGAAUCCGGCUCUCUAUUAGAAUCAGACGGAAUUUAGCAUCCUUAUCCUUUCUGUUCCUCUCAAGAUGCUUUCGAACAGCAACUGCUUUCUUAAUUAAAUGGUAGAGAUCUUCAGGAAGAUCAGGAGCAAGUCCCUUAGACUUAAGAAUUCUUAAAAUUUUAUUGCCUGUCACAAAACGUACUUGUGCAACACCAUGUGAAUCUCUCAGGAUUACACCGAUCUGUGAAGGAGUAAGGCCCUUCUUGGCCAGUUUGUAAAUCUGCUCCUUCACGUCGUCAGAUGUCAACUUCAACCAAGUGGGGACGCUGCGUCGAUAGGGUAAAGCCGACUGGGACAGGCCCUUCCCGGGAGCAUGCAUGCGACCCAUGAUGGCGGCGAUCAGGCAACGAAAGGAGAGCGAGAGUGGAAACGCCGCAGGAAGCCACCC